rnacentral:rRNA from 1 species
CCGUUGAACUAAGCAUAUCAAUAAGCGGAGGAAAAGAAACUAACAAGGAUUCCCCUAGUAACUGCGAGUGAAGAGGGAAAAGCUCAAAUUUAAAAUCUGGCAGUCUUUGAUUGUCCGAGUUGUAAUUUAGAGAAGUGUUACCCGCGCUGGACCGUGUAUAAGUCUCCUGGAAUGGAGCGUCAUAGAGGGUGAGAAUCCCGUCUUUGACACGGACUACCAGGGCAUUGUGGUGCGCUCUCGAAGAGUCGAGUUGUUUGGGAAUGCAGCUCUAAAUGGGUGGUAAAUUCCAUCUAAAGCUAAAUAUUGGCGAGAGACCGAUAGCGAACAAGUACCGUGAGGGAAAGAUGAAAAGAACUUUGGAAAGAGAGUUAAACAGUACGUGAAAUUGCUGAAAGGGAAACGCUUGAAGUCAGUCGCGUUGUCCAGGGAUCAGCCUUGCUUCUGUGAGGUGUACUUCCUGGUUGACGGGUCAGCAUCAGUUUCGACCACUGGAAAAAGGCUGGGGGAAUGUGGCACCUUCGGGUGUGUUAUAGCCCCUUGUCGUAUACAGUGGUUGGGACUGAGGAACUCAGCACGCCGCAAGGCCGGGAUUCGUCCACGUUCGUGCUUAGGAUGCUGGCAUAAUGGCUUUAAGCGACCCGUCUUGAAACACGGACCAAGGAGUCUAACAUGCUUGCGAUUUUGGG